AUGAUUUGGAAAGCUACGAUCCCCUUGAAAAUAAAGAUUUUUCUAUGGCAAUUGUUUCAAAAUGUUGUACCUACGCGCGAUAACAUGCGGCGUAGAAAUUGGCCUGGAAACCCUAUGUGUUCCUUCUGCACAAAUGUGGAAACUGCUAAUCACCUCUUUUUUACCUGUCCUCUCGCCCGUACGGUUUGGGGCAUACUGGGGUUAACAGCAGGAGCCUCUUGUGCUCCCGGAUCUAUUUGGCAAAGCUUAGCUUGGCUAUAUAAAUUCUUUCCAAAUGGAAAAAGAUUUUAUAUGAUGAUUGUUGCAGCCGUGUGCUGGGGGUGUGGUGUCUUCGUAACAAAACUACUUUUGACAAUUAUAAUGCUCGUACUCCUUUGGAGGCUGUCUUCACCGCCUGUUCUUUUAUGUUAUAUUGGGCAGGGUUGCUGA
rnacentral:rRNA from 1 species